GAUGAACGCUGGCGGCGUGCCUAAUACAUGCAAGUCGAGCGAACAGAUGAGGAGCUUGCUCCUCUGACGUUAGCGGCGGAAGGGGGAGUAACACGUGGGUAACCUACCUAUAAGACUGGGAUAAAUUCGGGAAACCGGAGCUAAUACCGGAUAAUAUAUUGAACCGCAUGGUUCAAUAGUGAAAGACGGUUUUGCUGUCACUUAUAGAUGGAUCCGCGCCGCAUUAGCUAGUUGGUAAGGUAACGGCUUACCAAGGCAACGAUGCGUAGCCGACCUGAGAGGGUGAUCGGCCACACUGGAACUGAGACACGGUCCAGACUCCUACGGGAGGCAGCAGUAGGGAAUCUUCCGCAAUGGGCGAAAGCCUGACGGAGCAACGCCGCGUGAGUGAUGAAGGUCUUCGGAUCGUAAAACUCUGUUAUUAGGGAAGAACAAAUGUGUAAGUAACUAUGCACGUCUUGACGGUACCUAAUCAGAAAGCCACGGCUAACUACGUG
rnacentral:rRNA from 1 species